rnacentral:rRNA from 1 species
GACGAACGCUGGCGGCGUGCUUAACACAUGCAAGUCGAACGGAAAGGCCCUGCUUUUGUGGGGUGCUCGAGUGGCGAACGGGUGAGUAACACGUGAGUAACCUGCCCUUGACUUUGGGAUAACUUCAGGAAACUGGGGCUAAUACCGGAUAGGAGCUCCUGCUGCAUGGGGGGGGUUGGAAAGUUUCGGCGGUUGGGGAUGGACUCGCGGCUUAUCAGCUUGUUGGUGGGGUAGUGGCUUACCAAGGCUUUGACGGGUAGCCGGCCUGAGAGGGUGACCGGCCACAUUGGGACUGCGAUACGGCCCAGACGCCUACGGGAGGCAGAAGUGGGGAAUCUUGCACAAUGGGCGGAAGCCUGAUGCAGCAACGCCGCGUGCGGGAUGACGUCCUUCGGGUUGUAAACCGCUUUCGCCUGUGACGAAGCGUGAGUGACGGUAACGGGUAAAGAAGCACCGGCUAACUACGUG